AUCUCAGGGUGAGAGGGAUUAUGUAUUAAGUCAGUUCCGCACUGGCAGGUCUCCCGUGCUUGUGGCUACUGAUGUUGCUGCGCGGGGUUUAGACAUCAAAGAUAUCAGGGUGGUGGUGAACUUUGACUUCCCAACUGGAAUAGAGGAUUAUGUCCACAGAAUUGGUAGGACAGGUCGGGCAGGGGCAUCUGGUCUGGCCUAUACAUUUUUCUCCGAUCAGGAUGCUAAGCAUGCUUUAGAUCUUGUUAAAGUUUUAGAAGGUGCAAAUCAAUCUGUCCCAACUGAACUGCGUGAUAUGGUUUCGCGAGGUGGUGGUAUGGGAAAGGCAAGGUGGGGUUCUGGUCAAGGUGGACGUGGUGGGCGCUUCAAUGGAAGCUAUGUUAGCCGGAAUGGAGGAAGGGGAGACUGGAAUAAUUCGUCAUCAGAAAGAGGCGGAGGACGUGGUUAUGACCGGGGAUCACGCGAUAGUGACAGAUUUCUACGUGGGGAUGCUUCAAGGAAGCGUAGUCGCAGCAGAAGCCCCAACAAGGGUUCAGGAUGGAGUGAUAAAAAGAGUCGGUUUGCCUGAAGAAUUUGAUCAGGCUCUUGCGUGUAAUACAAUUUGCAAAUGGAUCUAUUGCUUGCUUAGAAGAGGAGGAAGAAGAGGGGGGCAUGAUUUGUUAGAAUAUUGUAUACUUGAAAGUGAACCAAAGGAGAGUAUUAUUUUAUCCAUGAAAUUUGUCCAUUUGGCUCCUUUGUGCUUGCUGGACCUUGAUAUUUAUCUAACUGUUUCUUUUCUGAACAUUAUUAAGAGCAUGUAUGUAUUCUAGAAAGAAAUAUAGCUAGCACAAGUAAAUGUUGAAUGUUACAUUGACGUUCCAUUUUCUUUCCAUGAGCUUGCUUAUAAUUUCAGUGAG
rnacentral:misc_RNA from 1 species